CAGAACGGGAGCGUCACGACUUGUAUGUGUAUAAUAUAUACGGCCAUUACACUUUGUAAAUGUGUGAGGUUGAUAAAAACUAUAAUAACAUAAUAUAAUGUUGUCAAAUACGUCUCUCAUUUUGAAUUAGCACGUAUGAUAUGUUCGUUUUGUAAUUAAAUUAACCAAUCCACACAUAUUUUGUAAAAAUCAUAAUUGAUGUACGAGCGUACAAUCGUCGUUCUUUGUUCAGCAGAAGUGUGAAGUGUUAUAAUAAAAUUUAGAAAAUUAACAUUCCGUUGUUUGGUAUUAGACGUUGAGUAUGUUUAGCAUUAGUGAAUUAUGCUGCAUGUUUUGCUGCCCGCCUUGUCCCGGACCGAUAGCUGCCAAACUCGCUUUCCAGCCACCUGAGCCAACAUACAAAUUGACGCCAGCUGAUGACACGAACAUCAAAUACAAUUUACAGCUUUAUGAUCGCGCCGAAUGGCAAUACUCUGAACGCGAGAAAUCAAAAAUUGAGUCGUUCUUUACCCGCACAUCUCGUGGCAACUUGAUUACAUGCACAUAUGUUCGAUGCAGCAAGAAUGCAAAAUAUACACUGCUCUUUUCUCAUGGCAAUGCUGUUGAUUUGGGUCAGAUGAGCAGCUUUUAUCUCACACUUGGCUCCCAAAUCAAUUGCAACAUAUUUGGCUACGAUUAUUCCGGAUAUGGUAUGAGUGGUGGAAAACCCUCGGAGAAGAACCUUUAUGCAGAUAUCGAAGCUGCUUGGCAAGCAAUGAGGACAAGGCUAAAUAUAAGUCCUGAGACCAUUAUACUUUACGGCCAGAGCAUAGGAACUGUUCCAACUGUCGAUCUCGCAUCUCGUCAUGAGGUUGGUGCAGUUAUUCUUCAUUCACCAUUGAUGUCGGGGCUUCGAGUUGUCUUCAGAAACACAAAGAGAACUUGGUUUUUCGAUGCCUUUCCAAGUAUUGAUAAGGUGGCUAAAGUUAAAUCACCCGUUUUGGUCAUUCAUGGAACCGACGACGAGGUCAUUGAUUUUUCUCAUGGAAUUGGCAUUUAUGAGCGAUGUCCUAAGACUGUGGAACCUUUUUGGGUGGAGGGAGCUGGUCAUAAUGACGUUGAAUUACAUCCCCAAUACUAUGAGCGGUUGAGAAAAUUUCUUUCCGUGGAACUGAUUAAAUGACAAUUAAAGAACAAUGCUGAUGGAGGUGUUCGUAACAAUACUUCUGAUGGAGCAACUAACAAUACAAAUACAAAUCUUAUGGCAGCUAGUUUGAAAUUUAGUCAAAAACCGCAAACCGCUUCAGCAGCGACAGAACGUGAAUCUAAUAUCAAAAACAAUAAGCAAGAUGACAACGAUGGUUGUACAGCCUCUGGUUCUAUUUCAAUUAAAGAUCUUGCUGAAAAGUUUCUUUAGCUAGGAACACAAAACCUUGCUCAAUGCAGGCCAAAAUCCAAAAAAAAUUUAAUUUAUCAAGGAUGCGAAUACAUAGAUACUGAACAUCUGGAAAGAUAAAAAAGUCAGAUGGAAUGAAUGAUUGUCGCCACUUUAAAGCUACAACGCAAUACAGCUCCCACACACUCUCUUGACAGAAUUCUUUUCUGCCGGUGCAUCCGAAUUAGAAUUCAUAUAUCCAGCACAAUACUCUUUUUUGGUCAAUAUAUAUAAAUAAUAAUAAAAUAGCUUAGCAAUUAAUCUGUUUAAACAUUUUUACUGAUACAGAUUUUUAAGAAACCUUGAUCAGUGAUAUAAAACAAAGUAAAACGAUUUACAACCAUUCCAUUAACAUGUAGCUGUGGUACAUCUUAUGAGAAUAAAGUUAAAUUUAAUAAAUACCGUA